UACGAAGGGGGCUAGCGUUGCUCGGAAUUACUGGGCGUAAAGGGCGCGUAGGCGGAUAGUUCAGUUGGGGGUGAAAGCCCGGGGCUCAACCUCGGAACUGCCUUCAAUACUGGCUAUCUUGAGUACGGGAGAGGUGUGUGGAACUCCGAGUGUAGAGGUGAAAUUCGUAGAUAUUCGGAAGAACACCAGUGGCGAAGGCGACACACUGGCCCGUUACUGACGCUGAGGUGCGAAAGCGUGGGGAGCAAACAGG
rnacentral:rRNA from 1 species